GACGAACGCUGGCGGCGUGCUUAACACAUGCAAGUCGAACGAUGAAGCCGGAGCUUGCUCCGGUGGAUUAGUGGCGAACGGGUGAGUAACACGUGAGCAAUCUGCCCUUGACUCUGGGAUAACUGCGGGAAACUGUAGCUAAUACCGGAUACGACACCUUGGGGCAUCCCAGGGUGUGGAAAGAAUUUCGGUCAAGGAUGAGCUCGCGGCCUAUCAGCUAGUUGGUGAGGGAAUGGCUCACCAAGGCGACGACGGGUAGCCGGCCUGCGAGGGUAACCGGCCACACUGGAACUGAGCCGCGUUCCAGCCUCCUACGGGAGGCAGCAGUGGGGAAUAUUGCACAAUGGGCGAAAGCCUGAUGCAGCAACGCCGCGUGAGGGAUGAAGGCCUUCGGGUUGUAAACCUCUUUUAGCAGGGAAGAAGCGAAAGUGACGGUACCUGCAGAGAAAGCACCGGCUAACUACGUGCCAGCAGCCGCCGUAA
rnacentral:rRNA from 1 species